CGGAGGUGAUGUCACUUUGUUGUCCUGACCUGCUGUGGAGGCCAAAGACUGAUUUAAUGAGGCUGAUCC